CUGAGUAAUGAGAUGGUGCAUCCUGGAGGAUUCGAACCUCCGACCGCUCGGUUCGUAGCCGAGUACUCUAUCCA
rnacentral:tRNA from 1 species